rnacentral:rRNA from 1 species
UCGCACCUACCGAUUGAAUGGUCCGAUGAAGACUCGGGACUGUGAUUGUAUUCUUUAUUGAGUGCGAUUGCGGGAACCUGUCUAAACCUUAUCAUUUAGAGGAAGGUG